rnacentral:rRNA from 1 species
UACGAAGGCAGCAGUGGGGAAUAUUGCACAAUGGGCGCAAGCCUGAUGCAGCCAUGCCGCGUGUAUGAAGAAGGCCUUCGGGUUGUAAAGUACUUUCAGUCGUGAGGAAGGUGUUAAGGUUAAUAACCUUAGCAAUUGACGUUAGCGACAGAAGAAGCACCGGCUAACUCCGUGCCAGCAGCCGCGGUAAUACGGAGGGUGCGAGCGUUAAUCGGAAUUACUGGGCGUAAAGGGCACGCAGGCGGUUAAUUAAGUUGGAUGUGAAAUCCCCGGGCUUAACCUGGGAAUGGCAUUCAAGACUGGUUAGCUAGAGUCUUGUAGAGGGGGUAGAAUUCCAUGUGUAGCGGUGAAAUGCGUAGAGAUGUGGAGGAAUACCGGUGGCGAAGGCGGCCCCUGGACAAAGACUGACGCUCAUGUGCGAAAGCGUGGGGAGCAAACAGGAUUAGAUACC